rnacentral:rRNA from 1 species
CAGUAGCCGCGGUAAAACGGAGGGUGCAAGCGUUAAUCGGAAUUACUGGGCGUAAAGCGCACGCAGGCGGUUUGUUAAGUCAGAUGUGAAAUCCCCCGAGCUUAACUUGGGAACUGCAUUUGAAACUGGCAAGCUAGAGUCUUGUAGAGGGGGGUAGAAUUCCAGGUGUAGCGGUGAAAUGCGUAGAGAUCUGGAGGAAUACCGGUGGCGAAGGCGGCCCCCUGGACAAAGACUGACGCUCAGGUGCGAAAGCGUGGGGAGCAAACAGGAUUAGAUACCCGGGUAGUCCCUGUCUCUUAUA